AAGCUGGCGCUAGAUAGCAGAACUCUGUGCAUAAAAAUCAUCAACAGUGGAGUCACCCUGCUGAAGAGCAUGCUCCUGACGGACCACAGAGAGCUAUAAGGCAUCACCAGAGGGCUCAUAGCGCUGACGAAGACAGGUCCACAUCUCAAAGACAGUAGGAAGGCCCAGAAACUCAGAGGCAAACUGAGGGAGAACACUAGCAGU
rnacentral:lncRNA from 1 species